GAAAUUCCCCAUCUCUCUCUCCACACUCUCCCAACGGUAAUAUAAAAAAAAACAAAAAUAAAUACAAGGAGGACCACACACGUGACCGGUCUCCUCAAUCUGAAUUUCUCUCUCUCACUAAAAAACAAAAGAAAAAGAAAAGUUGGCACUAAGGAAAAGAUAAGGUUGACCAUUAGAAAAUAGUGAGAUUCCUCUCACAAUAGCUCUCUCUCGGGGAAAUAAGAAAAAGAAAAAAAGAAAAAGUGCCUUUGGGCUCUCUCUUUGGGGGAUUGGAAAUGAAAAAUAAAAACGGAGGACUAUUCCCCUUCGCACUGCCGCCGUCACUCACCUUCAUUUCCUUCACCCUCCUUCACCGGCGACCGCCACCCUUCACCCUU
rnacentral:lncRNA from 1 species